AGGGCACCACCAGGAGUGGAGCCUGCGGCUUAAUUUGACUCAACACGGGGAAACUCACCCGGCCCGGACACCGGAAGGAUUGACAGAUUGAUAGCUCUUUCUUGAUUCGGUGGAUGGUGGUGCAUGGCCGUUCUUAGUUGGUGGAGCGAUCUGUCUGGUUAAUUCCGAUAACGAACGAGACUCUAGCCUAUUAAAUAGACGUCGGGUUCUCUGCACUCGACGGUCUUCUUAGAGGGACAAGGUGCUUUUAGCACCGCGAAACAGAGCAAUAACAGGUCUGUGAUGCCCUUAGAUGUCCGGGGCCGCACGCGCGCUACACUGAAGGAAGCAGCGUGUAACAACCUUGUUCUAACGAACUGGGUAACCCGUGGAACUUCCUUCAUGAUUGGGAUAGGGGUUUGCAAUUUUGCCCCUUGAACGAGGAAUUCCCAGUAAACACUAGUCAUCAGCUAGUGCUGAUUACGUCCCUGCCCUUUGUACACACCGCCCGUCGCUACUACCGAUUGAAUGGUUUAGUGA
rnacentral:rRNA from 1 species